CAUUAUGAAGCUAGUUAGCAUUAACCUUUUAAGUUAAAGAUCUGAGAACACAUUUUCUCCAUAAUGA
rnacentral:tRNA from 1 species